rnacentral:rRNA from 1 species
CAAGGUCUCCGUUGGUGAACCAGCGGAGGGAUCAUGG